rnacentral:rRNA from 1 species
AUACGGAGGGUGCGAGCGUUAAUCGGAAUUACUGGGCGUAAAGCGUACGUAGGCGGUUCGUUAAGUUAGAUGUGAAAGCCCCGGGCUUAACCUGGGAACUGCAUUUAAAACUGGCGAACUAGAGUUGGGUAGAGGGGAGUGGAAUUUCAGGUGUAGCGGUGAAAUGCGUAGAGAUCUGAAGGAACACCAGUGGCGAAGGCGACUCCCUGGACUCAAACUGACGCUGAGGUACGAAAGCGUGGGUAGCAAACGGGAUUAGAUACCCUUGUAGUCC